GAUGAAGAACGUAGCGAAAUGCGAUACUUGGUGUGAAUUGCAGAAUCCCGUGAACCAUCGAGUCUUUGAACGCAAGUUGCGCCCGAAGCCAUUAGGCCGAGGGCACGCCUGCCUGGGCGUCACACGUCGUUGCCCCCCCAUCUACUCCUUCGGGAUUGCGGGGGGCGGAUGAUGGCCUCCCGUGCGCCUCGCCGCGCGGUUGGCAUAAAUGCCAAGUCCUCGGCGACGCACGCCACGACAAUCGGUGGUUGCGAAACCUCGGUUGCCCGUCGUGCGCGGUCGUCGCGCAUCGAGGGCUCGAAAAAAUUGCCGGGUUCCGGCUCGGCUUUCAACGCGACCCCAGGUCAGGCGGGGUUACCCGCUGAAUUUAAGCAUAUCAAUAAGCGGAGGA
rnacentral:misc_RNA from 1 species